UACGAGGGGGGCAAGCGUUGUUCGGAAUUAUUGGGCGUAAAGGGCGCGUAGGCGGUGCGGUAAGUCUGAUGUGAAAUCUCCGGGCUCAACUCGGAGUCUGCAUCAGAAACUGCCGUGCUUGAGUGUGGGAGAGGUGAGUGGAAUUCCCGGUGUAGCGGUGAAAUGCGUAGAGAUGUGGAGGAACACCAGUGGCGAAGGCGGCUUUCUGGUCUGUAACUGACGCUGAGGCGCGAAAGCGUGGGGAGCAAACAGG
rnacentral:rRNA from 1 species